CCCUUAGAUGUUCUGGGCCGCACGCGCGCUACACUGAUGCAUUCAACGAGCCUAUCCUUGACCGACAGGUCCGGGUAAUCUUUGAAUCUGCAUCGUGACGGGGAUAGAUUAUUGCAAUUAUUAAUCUUCAACGAGGAAUGCCUAGUAGGCGCAAGUCAUCAGCUUGCGUCGAUUACGCCCCUGCCCUUUGUACACACCGCCCGUCGCUCCUACCGAUCGGAUGGUUUAGUGAGACCCUCGGACUGGUCCCGCUGUCGGACAGGCAACUGUUUGCAGCGCGUGCGCCGGGAAGAAGGUCGAACUUGACUAUCUAGAGGAAGUAAAAGUCGUAACA
rnacentral:rRNA from 1 species